CACUGGUUCAUCAGCUAUGUCAUGUAACCUUGCCAGAUAGGGAUGCGCUAAUGCUUCUUCAACAGUAAUUCUUCUUGUGGGAUCAAAUGUUAACAUUCGAUCAAUAAGAUCAAUGGCCAAAGGAUGAACAUGAGGGAAAACUUGGGCUAAAGGCUGACGAGGAUAUUGACUUAGUUGUCGGAUGUAUCUUCUAGCAUCUUCAUUCUUGACAAACCCAAGAUCUGCUUCAGUUGGCGUGCCAAGAAGCUCUGUUAAUAGGCGCAACUGAUGCACAUGAUCUUUGCCUGGAAAUAAAGGCUUUCUGUUCAUAAGUUCCAUAAAGAUGCAACCCACAGACCACACAUCUAUUGCAGCAGUGUAGUCUGAAGAGUUAAGCAAAAGCUCAGGUGCUCUAUACCAUCUGGUAACAACAUAUUCUGUCAUAAAUUCAUUCU
rnacentral:misc_RNA from 1 species